rnacentral:rRNA from 1 species
GAUGAACGCUGGCGGCGUGCCUAAUACAUGCCAGUCGAGCGAACGGACGAGAAGCUUGCUUCUCUGAUGUUAGCGGCGGACGGGUGAGUAACACGUGGAUAACCUACCUAUAAGACUGGGAUAACUUCGGGAAACCGGAGCUAAUACCGGAUAAUAUUUUGAACCGCAUGGUUCAAAAGUGAAAGACGGUCUUUCUGUCACUUAUAGAUGGAUCCGCGCUGCAUUAGCUAGUUGGUAAGGUAACGGCUUACCAAGGCAACGAUGCAUAGCCGACCUGAGAGGGUGAUCGGCCACACUGGAACUGAGACACGGUCCAGACUCCUACGGGAGGCAGCAGUAGGGAAUCUUCCGCAAUGGGCGAAAGCCUGACGGAGCAACGCCGCGUGAGUGAUGAAGGUCUUCGGAUCGUAAAACUCUGUUAUUAGGGAAGAACAUAUGUGUAAGUAACUGUGCACAUCUUGACGGUACCUAAUCAGAAAGCCACGGCUAACUACGUG